UAUAUGUAUAAAAUGCAAUGUUUGUUUGUUUAUCUAUUCCUCAUAAGCUCCCUCAUAUUAUUUGACUUAUCGGAACCAAACUUUGCAAGGCCACUCUCCACCAGUAACAGAGGAUAUUCUAGUUCAAAAUCACUCCAGGAGUGGAUCAUUUUGGAUCGUAAUUUAAAACACAUAUUUAAAUCCUACAGUAUUGUUUUGACUAUUGUUGACAUUGCAAAGUAUGAAAUAAGAAUGACAUCAUAGUCUCAUAAGCAUGACAUUACUAUGACGUAACAAUGUACAAUGGUAAUGUCACAAGCGUUAUCAGUGUGUGGCGUCAUUAUGACGUAAUAGUUAUUAACAUCGAAAAAAUUCGUCCGUACGACGUAACAAUGGACGACGUCCCAGAGUAUUAUCAUAAUGUGGCAUCCUUAUGCUAUAGAAAUAACAUCACAAUAGUACCGACAUGUGAAAUAGCAAUGGUUAAACCAUUAUUUAUUAAUCCAUGCAAACGGAAAAUUUUAAUUUUUUCGUUUGCAUGGAUUAAUAAAUAAUAAUUUAUUUAAUUUUGGUCUCUAUGGUAAAAGACUAAACAUAGAUAUUAUGCUGAU
rnacentral:lncRNA from 1 species